rnacentral:rRNA from 1 species
GAUGAACGCUGGCGGCGUGCCUAAUACAUGCAAGUCGAGCGAACAGAUGAGGAGCUUGCUCCUCUGACGUUAGCGGCGGACGGGUGAGUAACACGUGGAUAACCUACCUAUAAGACUGGGAUAACUUCGGGAAACCGGAGCUAAUACCGGAUAAUAUAUUGAACCGCAUGGUUCAAUAGUGAAAGACGGUUUUGUUGUCACUUAUAGAUGGAUCCGCGCCGCAUUAGCUAGUUGGUAAGGUAACGGCUUACCAAGGCAACGAUGCGUAGCCGACCUGAGAGGGUGAUCGGCCACACUGGAACUGAGACACGGUCCAGACUCCUACGGGAGGCAGCAGUAGGGAAUCUUCCGCAAAGGGCGAAAGCCUGACGGAGCAGCGCCGCGUGAGUGAUGAAGGUCUUCGGAUCGUAAAACUCUGUUAUUAGGGAAGAACAAAUGUGUAAGUAACUAUGCACGUCUUGACGGUACCUAAUCAGAAAGCCACGGCUAACUACGUG